AUCCUAGCCAAACAGGAGGCAAAGGCAGGUGGAUCUGAGUUGCAGGCCAGCUAGGAAUAUGUAGAGAUACUCUGUCUAAACAAAAUAAAUAAAGAAAAAGUAAAAAAGUAAUAAGUUUGGAGUACAUAUAACUAAUGGAAGAUUUCUUUCUUUUUAUCCUUCAUUAUUACUAUUAUUAUUUUGAUACCGUUUUUUCAGGACUCUAAUGGCACGUGGCAGUUAAAAAGCUAAGAUGAUGUUGACUUUAGAAUGAAUGAAAAUAUUAACACAUGAUAAUGGGGAUUUCCAGUAAGCUAUAGUUUAAGGAUACAAUACCCGCUGGGUUUUAAAGUUUAUUAUCUUUAUGAUACCGGGAGAAAGGAAUAGUCCUAGUAGAUAGUAAAAUGACAUUUAAUGAAAUUCAAUAGAUGUUCCUCACAAGAACUUUUAUAGGUAUAAGAAAUAUUUCUAGGAGAAAAUUAUGAGAUUGAUUCUUACAAUUUCUUUCCUCAAUUCAUUUUCUAGCAUUGCUAUUGGAAAUACUUAAUAGUAGAUGAAGGACACAGGAUUAAGAAUAUGAAGUGCCGGCUAAUCAGGGAGUUAAAACGGUUCAAUGCUGAUAACAAACUUCUUUUGACUGGUACUCCCUUGCAAAACAAUUUAUCAGAACUUUGGUCAUUGCUAAACUUUUUGUUGCCAGAUGUAUUUGAUGACUUGAAAAGGUAGGUUUUAUGUCUUCUUAAAACCUCAAAAAAAUCUGUGUUCUAAGCUGAAACUGAUUCCUUUCUGUUUGGUAGCUGAACUUAAAUGACAUUUUUAGCGAUUUUUUUUUUUGUGCUAUAUAUUAUGUGUUCUACUUUUGACAGAAUAUAUAUGAGAGAAGAUAAUGACUUUUCAGAUUGAUUAAAAGAAAACAAAAAUAAUCCUGUAAGGGGCUGGAAAGAUGGCACAGCACGUGUAGACCGCCAAAUCUGAAGGCCUGAAUUCAGUCCUGAAUUCCAGUGGAAGGAGGCAGUGGUGUCUGCAGUUUGCUUUUCUUCCUCCCUUCCUGUGUCAUGGCACAUGUAUGCACUCCUUCCCCAAAUAAAUAAGGGUACAUAAACAACAAAG
rnacentral:lncRNA from 1 species